CUUCCCCAGCAUAAUCAGAGGAAUGCAUCUUAUCCAUAUAAAAAAGUAUCCUUGUAUCUUUUGACAAUAGAACCUCAGUCUUGGGGCAUGUGAGAGACUCUUCCAAAUUCAGGGACAUUUGAAGAGAAGAAAACCCAGGAAAACCAAGAUGCAAUCCUGCAGGACAUCUGGGAGCCCUCAGAUACAGUGUAAAUGGAGGCUCCCAUUAAAUUUCUUCUGCUUGGCUCUCAUCCAGUAUUCCACACUGUCAAAAUCAUUUUAAAUCCUGACACUGUUGGUUAUCGGCUCUACUUUCCUCUCUGGUUUCAUUGCGCCUGCCUUUUAAGCCUUCACCAAGUCCUUGACAAAGCCUACAAUUUGAGACUACUCUACCAGUUAUCAUUGGGUUAUAUAUACAAGCUGGAAAACUGAAUCCGCAGCUUGAGUAUCUCCUGCAGCUUUUGAAAACGGCUUCUCAUACUCCUCCCCUGAAACCCCUACCCAGGAGGUAGGGAGUGGAGGUAACCCUGCUUCUAACAGGCUCCUAAGAGAUGCUGAGUGGUGAGAGCCAUAAGACCUAAUGGCUCAGGCAUGUCAGGAUUUCAUUAUUUUCUCCUAAAUUGAAGAAAGGCCAUUGAGGGGUAUGCCUGGGUUUCAGAACCCAGAUUCCUUCUGUCUUACCCCUUCCACACAAGACAGGGCACCCUACUCACGGCAUCCAGCCGUUAUGGCCACACUCAAAACAGUGAGGAGAAAGAGGAAGAAAUGGAUGACUUCUCUGGUGUUCAGAAUUGUGUCUCAGAAGCUGUGCUCGGCACUUUGGCUGACUCUCAUCUUCUUGGCUUAAGCAGUCUCGCAAAUCAUGCUAACUGGAAAGAAAUCUGGGAACUUCAUCUUCAUUUUGGGUGUCAUAUGCCCAACAAAAAAUCCAGACAAAGAAACUAUAUUUCUGACAUUACUUAACAUCAGUAUUAUUACAAUUGAUGGGUCCCUCUAACGUCCCAGCUGGGAGUUUGUUAUCUAAUCCCUACUAUGUGUUAGACAGUUAAUAAAAAAGCUCUGA